rnacentral:rRNA from 14 species
GAUGUUGGGUUAAGUCCCGCAACGAGCGCAACCCUUGUUCACUGUUGCCAGCACGUUAUGGUGGGGACUCAUGGGAGACUGCCGGGGUCAACUCGGAGGAAGGUGGGGAUGACGUCAAAUCAUCAUGCCCCUUAUGUCUUGGGCUGCAAACAUGCUACAAUGGCCGGUACAAAGGGCUGCGAUACCGCGAGGUGGAGCGAAUCCCAAAAAGCCGGUCUCAGUUCGGAUUGGGGUCUGCAACUCGACCCCAUGAAGUCGGAGUCGCUAGUAAUCGCAGAUCAGCAACGCUGCGGUGAAUACGUUCCCGGGCCUUGUACACACCGCCCGUCAAGUCACGAAAGUCGGUAACGCCCGAAGCCGGUGGCCCAACCCCUUGUGGGAGGGAGCUGUCGAAGGUGGGACUGGUGAUUGGGACUAAGUCGAAACAAGGUAGCCGUACCGGAAGGUGCGGCUGGAUCACCUCCUU